rnacentral:sRNA from 2 species
GUGUACCACUUGCAUACUGCGGUUCCUCCGCGCCAUCGGCACCCACCAGGCGGCUGCUCGCGACAUUUUGUCAGCC